CUCAAAUACACACACUCGAAAUGUUUUAUUUUUCAGAACUUUCAAUUUCUUGAGAGGAGAAAAUUAUGGAGAAUAAAAUGUUUUAUUUUGCAAGCAAUGGGAGAUUUUUUCUUAUGAUACUACUACUAAGCAGUAUCGCUGCGGUUGCAAACGGACUCACUCACCUGUUGAUGAUGAUACUGAAUUGUGGUGACUCGAUAGACGCUUUAAGCACCACAGAUCCAGAAAACAUGGUUAAAGAAGUUUUAAAGGUUGGGAUAUUCAUACAAGUAACAGCAACUUUCUUUGGAGGAUUCAUGUUUGCCUUUAUAAGAGGUCUGCAAUUAGCGUUUGUUCUUCUCAGUUGCAUCAACUUCUCGGUUGAUGUUUAAGUAAUUGAAAUUAACGUUGGUUCUUUGAGGUUUUCCAAGCUUGUAUAGUAGAAAAAAGAUCUAGCUAAACUGGAAGAAGUUAAAACACAACGUCCGUUACAACUAUCAUUCUCACUCACUCAUGUGAGCAGAAAGAGUAGCAUGAUAUUUUCUUCAAGGUCUUUACCAACCUUUCAUCGUUCCCUUCUUUGCAAUAACGCUGUUUUGCAAAACCGUGAUAGUGCUGAGCCGAUGAGCCUCUAAUGAAAUUAUAGACUCAUCGGC